UACGUAGGGGGCUAGCGUUGUCCGGAUUUAUUGGGCGUAAAGAGCUCGUAGGCGGUUUGUCGCGUCGGCCGUGAAAUCUCCACGCUUAACGUGGAGCGUGCGGUCGAUACGGGCAGACUUGAGUUCGGUAGGGGAGACUGGAAUUCCUGGUGUAGCGGUGAAAUGCGCAGAUAUCAGGAGGAACACCGGUGGCGAAGGCGGUUCUCUGGGAAUAUCCUGACGCUGAGGAGCGAAAGUGUGGGGAGCGAACAGG
rnacentral:rRNA from 1 species